rnacentral:rRNA from 1 species
AUUGAACGCUGUCGGCAGGCCUAACACAUGCAAGUCGAACGAGUGGCGGACGGGUGAGUAAUGUCUGGGAAACUGCCUGGAGGAGGGGGAUAACCCCUUGCAAAGGUAGCUAAUACAGCAUACCAUCGGAUGUGCCCCGAUGGGAUUAGCUAGCAGGUGGGGUAAAGGUUCACCUAGGCGACGAUCCCUAGCUGGUCUGAGAGGAUGACCAGCCACACUGGAACUGAGACACGGUCCAGACUCCUACGGGAGGCAGCAGUGGGGAAUAUUGCACAAUGGGCGCAAGCCUGAUGCAGCCAUGCCGCGUGUAUGAAGAAGGCCUUCGGGUUGUAAAGUACUUUCAGCGGGGAGGCGUUACCCGCAGAAGAAGCACCGGCUAACUCCGUGCCAGCAGCCGCGGUAAUAC